CCUACGGGAGGCAGCAGUGAGGAAUAUUGGUCAAUGGCCGGAAGUCUGAACCAGCCAAGCCGCGUGAAGGACGAAGGUUCCAAGCAUUGUAAACUUCUUUUGUCAAGGGACAAAAUCAGGCUCGAGAGCCUGACCGAGGGUACUUGAAGAAAAAGCAUCGGCUAACUCCGUGCCAGCAGCCGCGGUAAUACGGAGGAUGCGAGCGUUAUCCGGAUUUAUGGGGUUUAAAGGGUGCGUAGGGGGACGGUUAAGUCAGCGGUAAAAGCCCGGGGCUCAACUCGGGCGAGCCGUUGAAACUGGCUGUCUAGAGAUUACGAGAGGUAGGCGGAAUGCGGGGUGUAGCGGUGAAAUGCUUAGAUA
rnacentral:rRNA from 1 species